rnacentral:rRNA from 1 species
GACGAACGCUGGCGGCGUGCUUAACACAUGCAAGUCGAACGGAAAGGCCCUGCUUUUGUGGGGUGCUCGAGUGGCGAACGGGUGAGUAACACGUGAGUAACCUGCCCUUGACUUUGGGAUAACUUCAGGAAACUGGGGCUAAUACCGGAUAGGAGCCCCUGCUGCAUGGUGGGGGUUGGAAAGCUUCGGCGGUUGGGGAUGGACUCGCGGCUUAUCAGCUUGUUGGUGGGGUAGUGGCUUACCAAGGCUUUGACGGGUAGCCGGCCUGAGAGGGUGACCGGCCACAUUGGGACUGAGAUACGGCCCAGACUCCUACGGGAGGCAGCAGUGGGGAAUAUUGCACAAUGGGCGGAAGCCUGAUGCAGCAACGCCGCGUGCGGGAUGACGGCCUUCGGGUUGUAAACCGCUUUCGCCUGUGACGAAGCGUGAGUGACGGUAAUGGGUAAAGAAGCACCGGCUAACUACGUG